CCUCAGAUCCGAUUUCUGAAAUACCCAUUGUGCUUUGGCUGGAUCCUCUAGUUACGCAUCGAAAUCAAGUUUGUUGGGGAUCAAUCGAAUUAAGGCGACCAGUUCUUAAAGAAUUCUGCACUGAAAACCAUCGUGCUUCUC